rnacentral:lncRNA from 1 species
CGAAGUUCAACAUCACCAAUUACAGCAGUCGCCGGCGGAUGAAGGCGAUCAAGAAGCUGCUCAAAAGGAGUUUCCAUCUUAGUCAUCACAGCUUCAUAAAAUCCAGGAAAAUCAACACCCUUUAGACGCUCAGAUGGGAUGACGUUAGGUAUGGUGGCGAAGACGAUGGAAUCAUCAGGCUUUGGCUCAGAGCUGAGGUAGCCAAGCCACUCUUCAGUGACGACUAAGGUGAUGAGAAUAUCAGGUUUUCUUGAAGCUAAAAGCUUGCAGAUAUUCAUCAUGGGGUUGAUGUGGCCUCUUCCAGGAAAUGGCAUCGCCACCACAUGGCAAACUGCGGCAGAUUCUGAGUUCAUGUCUCAAGAAAUUCUAGAAUUAUGAGAUUCCUAUUCUCAGAUGAAACAAAAACAUGAACUAGGUUUAAGACAACCGCUUGUGAAAAGAUUAAACUGUUUUUUCUCUGUGGUUAUUGUCUUUUUUUUUCAUAAUACAAUAAUGGAAAGUGAUGACUCACAACCUAACCACAUAGUUUUUUGCCAUUAUUUAUAUUUCUUUAAUUCUUUUACCUUUCCAGCGUAAUACGCAAUUGACAAUGUCAUGGAUGUUUUUAGUCUGUCAUCUUGUGUUUUGUAUUACAAUCAAAUUUAUAUCUUGAAAAAUCCUUU